ensembl:lncRNA
CUGGGAAGGAGCUGACAAGGGCUGUUGAGGCGGCUCCCUGCUCCCCACCCAGGGAGGCGCCCAUGCUCUGCAGCUCAAACCACAAGCUGCAAUGACUAGGCACCUUUUCUUUGUGCACAAGGAAAGCAGGCCUGGCGGCACUUGGCCAGGCUCCACACCGGUGCUCACCUUUCAUUAGUGCCAGGUCUCUUCAGCCCCAGGCCUUCUGGGGUGACGCCGAGGGUCACCCUCCCCAGCUGGGUCCUGGGAUUGGCCGAGGAGAACAGGAUCCCGUCUGCAGUGGCAGAGCCUGAAAAAAGGCCUCUCUCCCAGAAGCAAAAGCACCAGGAUCCUGUAGCAGCGUAAACCCAGGAGCAAUGCCACAGCCCUGGAUAGCGGUCAAGGAAAGAGUCCUGAGGACCCAGACUGGGACCCCGGCUCCACUGCAAGCCCAGGGCUGGCUCGUGGCCCUCCACGCCCAGCCUAGGCGUGCCCCAGGAGCACACACGCAGGCCUGUUCCUGCCAAAGCGAUGCCCAGCGCUGUCACUCAGGAACGCAACUGCUCGCGGCCGUUCACGCCUCAUCGGUGCCCGCUCAGCGGAUGUGCAGGGGCACCUGAGGGUGAACGUCAUGCAGAGAGCAAAGCUGGGACAGGAGGGUGAGCACCCACCGCCUGGGGGUUCACUCCCAGCCCAGAAACAUCCCAGCGCAGCAGCCUGGCUUAUGAAACACGGGAGCAGCUUUACGUAAUCAUGGGAAAUCAGGAGAAAAAGCGCCUUCCUAAAAAUGCAUCCCCCCACCUCGACGGUACUUUUUUCAAGAUGGAAUUUUGUUUUGCUUUUUUUGGUUUGUAAGAGUUGACCAUGUUCACUGGCACUAAAUUCCAACAAAAAUCUGUAAAGUAGAAAUCGAGAGUCCUCCUCAGUCCCACGCUCCAAAAUCCCCCGAGGGGGUCUGUCCUUACAGCCUCUUUGCUUCGCCCACGCCAACUUACAAACGCACACAUCCGGGGCAUGCAUGUACCCACACACGCGUGCACACACACAUGCUUUUCCCUUAUCUUUGACAGAAGUAGGAUCACGCUGUACCUGCUGCUCUCUACUCCAGAUCACACCCCCCCACCCCGCUGAACUUUCGAUGUUUUGCCAGCUGUAGCACACUCAGCCCGGGGCGGGGCGGGGGGGGGAGGUUGGCAGGCAUCCAGCAAGGCAUGGACCCCAGGUCUGUCCAGCUCCAGAACCCAAGUUCUAAUGGUCUUCCCCAUGUUUUCCUCUGGAGAGUUCUUAGAACCCGCAAACAGCAUUGCCUGGGAGUCUUAGAACUGCAGGCCCCACCCCAGAGCCUCUGCUUCAGAAGGUGAGAGGUACCCAGGGGAUCUGCAUGCAGAAUAACUACUUGAGGCGACUCUGUCCUGUCCAGCCGUUGGGGCCACUAAGGAGCUACAUUUCCCCACAGAUGCUGCCAAUUUCCGUCCCCAAGUCAAUAUACUUUGAGUAAAUGAGCGAGCCCAUUGCUCAGGAGGUUCAGUCUUCACUGAUCUGGGAAAACAUCCACUCGGGUCCCCGCCGACCCCUGCCCUCUGCCGCCAGGCCUGUUUGCAGCCAGGUUUCCCUUAGGAU